UAUUCAAGCAGAAGUUAAAAGCUCUCGUCGAAGCUUGCAUAGUAUGGAUACGGGCUCGGCUGCAUGCCGUAGACGCUUUGACCGUAACCGUAAGCUGGACGGGGACCCAAGAAACUGGCGUAAUUUGGCCGAGGACUCAUAUUAGGCCGGAUACUUCCGGGCCGUAUGGCAAGCCGCUGGCCAAACGGUAUCCCUCAUCAGGUGGAGGUCCGUAAGCCGAUUGGAACCCGUAACCUGUCUGAGGGCCGAGCUCCCAAGAAGUUUACGUAAUUCGGACGAGGUCUUGCAUAUGGCCGCAGAGUUCCGGGUACGUAAGGUUUGCGAGGAGGGCUUAACAUUUGAGCAAGAUUAAAAAAUUUAUUGUCUUCCUCUUCUGGAUUUAUUUCCAGGCCCGGUUGCAUGGGACCGUAAUAUGGUCCUGGCGCCAUGAGAAGCGCAUAAUUUGGCCGAGACACUUCAUCCCUACUCCCGACCUCCUGUGUCUUUGCUGGAGUUAUUUCUGCAGCUGGAUUAAUUGCAAUCUCUGCGGUACACGGAGACCAAUGAUGACCGAGAUAGUCGUGUUUCAAUUUCUUCACGAGGUUCACUAGACCAAGAUUGCACGAGAUUCAGG